UGUUUAUGUCACCGGCCAGGGGCUGGCUCCUAGUUGUAUAAACCACGCCCCUUCUAAACUUCCACCUCGAGGAGGUCCCCAAAACCAACCCAAUGACCAGACAACAACGAGCACAAGGGGGCCACGGCCCAAUGAAUGACUAAGGGUGGGGGGUCGUACGUGGGGGAACGGGCUCCUGCCUCGGGUUCCCUCUACUCGUGGCGCGCUCCUCUUCCUUCCUGGAGGCAGAAUAAAAACACAAUGAGUGCUGGUUCCAACUAGGACACGAGGACACAGUGAGUCGACUUCACGACGUUCGCUCGCCUCUGCGCUGGUUACAGCUUCUAGAUGGGUAUGGCUCUCUCCACAGUUCAAUAUUUCGGUGCUCACGUUGGCUCUCUUUCUCUCCACAGACGGCCGCUGGGAUACAAGGACACAGUGAAUCGUUCUCAAGACGUUCGCUCACCUCUACGCUGGUUACAGCUUCUAGGUAGGUAUGGCUCUCUCCACAGCUCGAUAUCUCCGUGUUCACGUUGGCUCUCUUUCUCUUCACAGA